AACUAAAUAAUUUAUAUAAAAAUAUUAAGUUGCAAACUUAAAAUAAGAAAUUUCUUUUAGUUU
rnacentral:tRNA from 1 species